rnacentral:rRNA from 1 species
UUCGAUUAUGGCUCAGAUUGGAACGCUGGCGGGAUGUUUUACACAUGCAAGUCGAACGGCAGCACGUGGACUUCGGUCUGGUGGCGAGGGCGCAGUUCGGUGAGAAUAUCGUGGAACGCCUAGCGGGGAUAACUACGCGAAAGCGUGAUGCACACGUAGUUACCGCCUUCGGGGGAAAGCGGGGACCUUCAGCCUCGUACCAUUAGAAGGUGGCUGAUAUCGGAUUAGCUAGUUGGUGGGGUAACGGUCACCAUACAGAUUAACCGGCUGGUUUGAAAGAGGACGACCAGCCACACUGACCGAGACACGGGCCCAGACUCCUGCUGAGUAGCAGGGGGAAUUUUGACAAUGGGGGAAACUCCCGAUCCAGCCAUCCCGCGUGUGCGAUGAAGGCCUUCGGGUUGUAAAGCACUUUUUGGCAGUGAAAGAAAACGGCACGGGAUAAUACCCGUGCAACUGACGGUACCCGCAGAAUAAGCGCACCGGCUAACUACGCGCCAGCAGCCGCGGUAAUAAUGCAGGGUGCAAGCGUUAAUCAACCAUUGGGCGGGAAGCGUGCGCAGGCGGUUCGGAAGAAAGAUGAAACUUGUGAGCUUAACUUUGAACUGCAUUUAACUACCGAGCUAGAGUGCGUCAGAGGAUGAAUUUCGCGUGGGGCAGUGAAAUGCGUAGAUAUGCGGAGGAACACUGAUGGCGAAGGCAGCUCUCCUGGAUAACACCACGCUCAUGCACGAAAGCGUGGGAGCAAACAGGAUUAUGUUCUGGUAGUCCACGCCCUAAACGAUGUCAACUAGCUGUUAGCCUUCUGGGCCUUGGUAGCGCAGCUAACGCGUGAAGUUGACCGCCUGGGAGUAAUGGUCGCAAGAUUAAAACCUCGUAUGAAUUGACGGGGACCGCACAAGCGGUGGAUGAUGUGGAUUAAUUCGAUGCAACGCGAAAACCCUGUCUACCCUUGACAUGUUCGAAUCCUGAAGAGAUUUGGGAGUGCUCGCAGAGAACCGGAACACAGGGCGUCACGGUUGUCGUCAGCUCGUGUCGUGAGAUGUUGGGUUAAGUCCCGCAACGAGCGCAACCCUUGUCAUUAGUUGCCACAAAGGGCACUCUGACGAGACUGCCGGUGACAACCGGAGGAAGGUGGGGAUGACGUCAAGUCCUCAUGGCCCUUAGCGGGUAGGGAAGCCACACGUCAUACAAUGGUCGGGACAGAGGGUCGCCAACCCGCGAGGGGGAGCCAAUCCCAGAAACCCGAUCAGUCCGGAUCGCAGUCUGCAACCUGACUGCGUGAAGCCGGAAUCGCUAGUAAUCGCGGAUCAGCAUGUCGCGGUGAAUACGUUCCCGGUCUUGCACACCGCCCGUCACACCAUGCAGGGAGCGGGUUUUACCAGAAGCGAAGUUAGCCUAACCGUAAGGAGGGCGAUUACCACGGUAGGAUCUAUGACUGGGGUGAAGUCGUAACAAGAA